UACGAAGGGGGCUAGCGUUGCUCGGAAUCACUGGGCGUAAAGGGUGCGUAGGCGGGUUUUUAAGUCAGGGGUGAAAUCCUGGAGCUCAACUCCAGAACUGCCUUUGAUACUGGCGAUCUCGAGUCCGGGAGAGGUGAGUGGAACUGCGAGUGUAGAGGUGAAAUUCGUAGAUAUUCGCAAGAACACCAGUGGCGAAGGCGGCUCACUGGCCCGGUACUGACGCUCAGGCGCGACAGCGUGGGGAUCAAACAGG
rnacentral:rRNA from 1 species